CCUCGUGAAUGUGGCCGCGCCACAGGGCCGCCACUCUGUCCUAGCGCAGAAAAAUGAUGACUGUGGAAAGAUGAUGAAGAAGUUGUCUCUUCGUAAACAGCGCUUCAUGCAAUUUUCUUCACUGGAACACGAAGGAGAAUAUUACAUGACACCACGAGACUUCCUCUUUUCAGUAAUGUUUGAGCACAUGGAACGU